rnacentral:rRNA from 1 species
UACGAGGGGGGCAAGCGUUGUUCGGAAUUACUGGGCGUAAAGCGCACGUAGGCGGCUUUGUAAGUUAGAGGUGAAAGCCCGGGGCUCAACCCCGGAAUUGCCUUUAAGACUGCAUCGCUUGAAUCCGGGAGAGGUGAGUGGAAUUCCGAGUGUAGAGGUGAAAUUCGUAGAUAUUCGGAAGAACACCAGUGGCGAAGGCGGCUCACUGGACCGGUAUUGACGCUGAGGUGCGAAAGCGUGGGGAGCAAACAGG